UACAGAGGUCUCAACCGUUGUUCGGAUUCAUUGGGCGUAAAGGGUGCGUAGGCGGUCGCGCAAGUCGGAUGUGAAAUCUUAGGGCUCAACCCUGAAACUGCAUUCGAUACUGCGUGGCUCGAGUACUGGAGAGGAGACUGGAAUUUACGGUGUAGCAGUGAAAUGCGUAGAUAUCGUAAGGAAGACCAGUGGCGAAGGCGGGUCUCUGGACAGUUCCUGGCGCUGAGGCACGAAGGUCAGGGGAGCAAACGGG
rnacentral:rRNA from 1 species